CCUACGGGCGGCAGCAGUGAGGAAUAUUGGUCAAUGGGCGAGAGCCUGAACCAGCCAAGUCGCGUGAGGGAAGACGGUCCUAUGGAUUGUAAACCUCUUUUGUCGGGGAGCAAAAAGGCCUCCUUAUGCCACAAGUGAGAGUACCCGAAGAAAAAGCAUCGGCAAACUCCGUGCCAGCACCCGCGUUAUUACGGGGGAUGCGAGCUUUAUCGGGAUUUAUUGGGUUUAAAGGGUGCGUAGGCGGACUGGAAAGUCAGCGGUAAAAUCGAGAGGCUCAACCUCUUUCCGCCGUUGAAACUGGCGGUCUUGAGUGUGCGAGAGGUAUGCGGAAUGCGUGGUGUAGCGGUGAAAUGCAUAGAUAUCACGAAGAACUCCGAUUGCGAAGGCAGCAUACCGGAGCCCGACUGACGCUGAGGCACGAAAGCGUGGGUAUCGAACAGGAUUAGAUACCCUGGUAGUC
rnacentral:rRNA from 1 species